UUAGGAUCUGGAUCCUGCCCUCGUCGUGUCACAAUUGCCAUCUCAGCUGCUUUCUGGGCUCUGCAUCCCUCUUGUUGCCUCUUUAGGUGGUACUGAUCCAGUAAGAAACAAAAUUACCUUACCAGAGCAUUAGACAUCUGUUUCCAUGGAAACAGAGAAGGAUGGGAGAGAAGCACUGGAAAGGCUAGGGAGUACCAUAGCCUUGGAAGGACCUUCUUUCAUCUGAGAAAUAAAAUUCACCUUUAUAAUCUCCUCUCCUAAUUCUACCUUACCCGAACUGUAAGUAUUUAGCUGGUGGCUCCCCUGUGUUUACAGUUUUCCUGGCUCUAGAUUAUACUGGCUUCUGUCUUUCUGCUUUUAACCUAUGAUUCCCUUCAUUCUAGGACAUUAAAGUGGUGAAGCCCUUGAGUGCUUUGAUACAGAGUUGCAUCAACUUAAAUGGAAUUAAUUCUCUACCAUCACUUGCAUUAAGUAGGAGGAAUUCAACCAACCUUUGAACUUGAAGAGUGUAAUCAACAAGUUGGAAACACAGCGAUAGUUUCUCCAAGAUCUUCA
rnacentral:lncRNA from 1 species